CCCUUGGGUUGCCUGAUCCAGAUUGGGUGGUGUGUCUACUUGUUGCCCACAGAACCCUCCCCAUCCCGCAUCGCUAUGGGAAUGUCAGAAGCGGCCUGCGAGUAUCAGAAGCCAGGGGGUGAGAAACAGCAGUGGAGAUGGUGCUCAGAAAUUGCCACCUGUGAGACCACCACACCCUGGCCCAGAGCUUGCGACCUUGGGCCGCACCUUCCUCCUCUACUUCAGUUCUCCCAGCUGCAAGGACCCCAGCACCUCAGCAGCGCUUGCUACUCCAGGUUGAAAGCUGCAACAAAAUCCCUGCCCCAGACUAAAAGAACUGGUCUGUUUGUGUAGCUGCCUGGAACCAGGUAGAAGCUGAGGAUCAGGGCAGGCAACAGGGAGGGUGAGCUCAGUCCAGAGUAAAAGCUGUAGGGAACAGUUCCCGAGGCUUGAGUUAGGGAUGGCCUUAGUGAAGAGAAAGUUCACAGCUGCUCAAUCUACUGAGACUAACAAGUGCGCUGCAGUCUUUCCCCAUGAAUCUCUCUCUCUGCAAAUGGAGUCCUACUCCCUGGCGGUGAGAAUGCAGAUACUCUCUGCUCUGACAACCAAAAACCUACUGCAGCCUGGAAUUGAAAGCUCCCAAUAUGAGCAGGGCUGCAGCCAGCUCUCAGGACAAAGAAACACUGCUCAGGGUGGCAGCAUGGAACCUGUCUAUACCAUUAUGCUGCAUAAGCUGCCCUGGGGCCACUUCAGAGCACCUCUCCUAUUCCUAUUCCUAUGGGGCGGAUACAACACAUAUACAUAUGCACAGGCAGGCAGGCAGGCAGGCAUGCACAGACACACACACAAACACACACACACACACACACACACACUAAUGAAAACAACACUAAAAAGAAGAGAAAUUUUCUGAGCCUUUAACAAAAUCCUAAUUCCCUGACUCAGCAAACCAAAUCCUAUAUGCUUAAAGGGGAAGUUAAAACGUACUGAGAAGGGUGCUCUCUAUUCAGAAAAUAAGGUUCAAACAGCAUCUGUCUUCAAACUACACAACAGAGCUGCGGGGGAACUCAAGUCCAUCCACUACCAGAAGCUGUGCAUUUCCUACCUUGAGCUGGUACUAGAAGGUCUCAGCCCCAUGUCAACAGCUGCCCAGAGUAAGCCCACAGCUUCUGGAUAAACCUCUGGGACAGCAGUGUUUCCUCUGAACAUAAAUAAUAACAAUUACAUGUUUCUAUGCUUCACACAGCUCACCAAACAUUCUUUCUUAAGGGCUAGGCUUUCCCACACAUGAACUUGUACACAUGAACACACAGAAAUAUUUUUUUAAAUAAAAUUUAAAAGUAUUUUUCUCCUCUAAGACUUAAAAGCUUCCAGUUGGAAAAUCUCCCCCUGAAUGUCUUUUUCAUAAACAUUCUAGCAUUUAGAUGUCAGCACUGACUACAUUUGGCAGCUGAUUAAACACCACAGAUCAUGUCCCUCUGGGUUAUGCUGUUACCCUCAGUUCCCAGUGACUGGUUCCAUUUCAGGCCUUUCUGAGCUCUUAAACAGCCACGCACAACCUUUGACACUGUGACACAUUAUCAUCUACAAAGUUCACGCUUCAAGAACCAUGACCGAUUGCAAAAGAAAACUCUCUGAAGGUUUUAGAUCAGUUUACAGUUUUGUGCUGGGCCAUAGCCCGCUCCUCAGGUUUCAGACAACUGUACAUACACCCACUUUCCAACAACUGUGUGCUCUUCCUGGGCCAGGAAAAUACAACCCCCAACAAAAGGCCACUCAAAAACACAUCUGUAACACAAAAUCCCUUUGAGGAAACUUUUGAUUCGUACCUUUAAAUCUCUUUAGAUAGAAAGAACUCACACUGAAUAUUUUAGGAGAUUGUUAGAAGAAUUUGAAAGUUCUAACGUUUAAAAGAAAUCCAUGCCUUUGGCUUUAACAAAAACAAAUACUCAUCAAACUUCAUCAAGCAGAAAAGGAGACAGGAGGCAAAAGCUUUUUAAUGACACUUUCUGUUUUCAGUUUCUCUGUUUUCCAGCCCAGCUGUUCACUCCCCCACCCCCAUCCUCCAGUUUGCUAUGUUUUAAAUCCUCUAAAGAUUAGUAAUGAUGCUCUUAACUGUCUUCUGAGGAACAGACUAAUGCAGGCACUCAAAACAUAACAUAUACUAACAACAAAUCCUGGCAAUAUGUUUGUACAUGAAAAUCAGAGACCUGAGGGUGAAAUAAGUUGCCUUAGCGUGGCCAAGAUUCAAACUUGACAACAACGGUACUACCCUAACUAUUACUCUAUACUCUGUUAAACACAAAGUGUUUUCUUCCCUCCUGAACUAUUUCUCUAAACAACUCCUGAACCUGCAGAAAAUGUCCCAGCAGAACCAGAAGGUCCUCUUUGCUAGGUUAAUGUUUUGGUCAAUAAACGGACAGAAGAACUGUGAAGUUGAAGUGCUGUGGAGAGAGGUGUGACCUCUGACAUGUCCUCCUGGCAGAGAUCAUUGAGCAGGGAGAGCGGGAGAUAGGUGUGGGGGAGGAUGAAUCUAGGACCAGUUUCCCAGUCCAUCAGGGUGGAUGAAAAGUUUGUCCCUCUGGGCAUUCCCCUGCCUUCUUCCUGCUACCUUUAGUGCAAGUGAGUCACAGAACCAGGUUAAGGUGGUUCAGGGGAGGUGAAGGCCACAGCUAUGGGGACAAGAACGAGAACUAAUAGCAGACACAGGUGUCUAUACCAUGUUCUCUCCCUAAGGCUCUUCAGCAUGUUUCCCUAAGCCUGCACAGCUAACUACCACAGACAAAGCUAAAUGGCUGUACCCUCCAUCCUGCAAUGCCUAUGAAGCCUCGACAUGGCUCACCUUCUCUGAACUUGCAAACCGAAAUUUUUAUUACAUUUGGGAUAAGAGCUGGCUGUAUAAUCCAGGCUGGCCUAGAAUUCCCUAUAUGGCCCAGGCUACUCUUGAACCUACACAAUCUUUCUGUCUCAGCCUGCCCUUGCCUGCCUUAGCCUGCCCCAGCCUGUUCCAGCCUGCCCGGUACAGGGAUGGGCCCAGGUGAAUGACCAUAUCUAGUUUGUCAACUCUGCUAUAUUUUCUUUAAACAAAACCUCAAAUGCCCAGUUUUUCAAUGCACUUGCCUUGAGCUUUAGAACUCACGUGGUCAUCCAGUCCUACCACAUACCUCCCUCCACUCAGGGGUGGCAUGUACCAGAAUCGGGGUAAUUAGGAAGGAUUUCUCCUUCCAAAGGAGCGACGGGAACAUCUGGCUGUGAAAGCACUGGCCAUGCCUCUGGAUAGGACCUGGUGUUUCUGUUCCCAAGGUCUUUCCUGCCUGGAGUUAGGAAAGCUGCAUCUGCCUGUGGAGGAGCUGGGGUUCUGGUGCCCAUUGGAUCCAAAACCAAUGCUGGGUCCUUGAAAUCCAGGACCUCUACCUCUCCCACAGGUGGCCCCUGUUUGAUUUGACAGACCGAAGAAGCCAAUUCUGUUUCCCGGUAGGAUGGCCAGUUACCAGGUGCUGGGUAUGGCAAAGGAGAAGCGUGAUCAGAAUCUGGAGACGUGGUGCCAACAUCCACAAAGCUCGAAUUAGCCUUUGAUUUGAAAGACACAUCAAUACAUCGAUUCUGCUGUGGUCUUCCAGGGCCUUCCCCGGUUCAAUUGGUGGGUAUUCUACAUCCUCUCCAUUCUCCUUGUGAUAAUUGCAACUGUCCACAGUACAGAUCUCCAGGGCUGCAGCAUGGUUGAAGGAGUGCUCCAGCGCUGAGGAGCAGGCUGUGGAAUGGUCACCUCUUACCGUGACUGGCCAGACAUUGUCGAGGGCCAGCCUGCUGCUGAGUGAAAAGCCCACGCCCCAAGAAUCCCUGGGUUGCUUAGUCUAAGAACAGAGGAAAGAGUGGAUUGUAACCAGUCCAUUCAUCCUCCUUCAGAAUUCAUAUUGAAAUCAAAAGACUUUAACGAUCAAAGUCAAACUUUCCAUGCUAUGUCAAACAGAAGCAAAGCUUCUAAGUAACUGAGAUAAAUACCGUACAGGAACUUUGUUAUAAGCUGCCUUUUGUCUGGCAUUGUGUAUGGAACACUAAGCCAUCAGGUUAUAUGUCGGCUCCAGAAGCCCAAAUCAAAUAUUCUGUCAAAAACCUGGCUGUCUUGAGAGCAAACAUGGAAUGCAAGAAUAUUUUAUGCUUUCUCGACGUGAAUGAAAACUUAAAUCAGACUCAAGCUUACUUAAGCUUAAAAUUCCUAAAACACUUAAAUAGUACUGAUUUCUACAAGCCGAGCCUACACCAGUGCUUAUCAGUCUUCACUGUGCUCUGCAGUAUAGGGGUGGUAGCUGUGCUAGUUCUUAGUGAGGAAAAAGUUGGUUUUGAGAGGUUAGCUAAUCUUCAGAUCAUACAGCCAAAAGUUGGCAAAGCCCCGGCAAGAAUUUCAUGCUAACACGAAACUUUGUCUUCCAAACAUCUCUGUGUACUCUGAUUCACAUGGACUAAUAUAUUAAUGACAGGGGAUGAUAGAUCUAUCAGUACUUUUUAAUGACCAAGUCUAAAACAAUUUUUGAGGAAAAGUUCAACAUAGGUAAGAUACAAAUGUAUUAAUCAAAAUGAGGCUCAGUAUUUGGGAACAGAUCUUCAUUUUCUCUGUAGAGUAGGCCAUGAAACCCUGUUAGUUCCCAAGAAUCUCUUUUCUUAGAGGAGUCUCACCAGAUAGUCCCAGCUAUCCUGAAACUUAAGAUCUUCUGCUGGGAUGUGGCACUACUCUUGCCAGCUCAGUCACCUACUAUCGCAGUGUCAAUGGUACGCUUGCUGUGAAGAGGACAGCCAUGUGUAAGAUGACUCCUAACCCUAAGAGAAAGCUCGGGUUAGGAAGGCUCUGGAAGGAUGAAGGAACGCCCAUUCAGAGCCUGCCCCACAUGUGGCCCAUAUAUAUACACCCACCGAACUAGAUAAGAUGGAUGAAACAAAGAAGUGCAGUCAAAAUAUUUACCUAUUUUCUUUUUCUUGAGUUCAGUAGUUUUGGUCUUAUGUUUAAGUCCAUUUUAAAAUCUAUUAUGAAUUAAUAUUCAUAUAUAGUGUAAGCUAAUGGUCCAUCUUCUUUUGCAUGUGAUAUCCCAGUUUCACUAACUCUCUUCAUUUAAAAGACUGUCCCAUUGAUUUCUUACAGAGAAGCACCUUUAAAUACAGAUGUCCCUGGAUUGCACUAUACCUUAAGGUCCUCAGUUGUAAGUAACUGCUAAGUAGGAAACUGAUGGCUAAGGUAUGGGGGAAAGGUACUGAGAAGAGAGAUAAGUGUGGGCCAAAACCCAGCUUAUCUCUCCUUGUCUAAGAGUGGCCCUAGGUUGCUUUCUCUACAUUUGUGGCACAUUAUGUGUUAUGUCAUACAACUAAAAUGGGCACAACAGUGAACUCAUUGUACAUUUGUUUUAGUUAACAAAUAUUUCUUGUAACUAUUAACUGAGGGUAAGUUAGCACUUUGUAUCUGUAUAUGACCACAGCAAUGAGACUGAAUAAAGUCACUCAAAGCAGCUGCACUUACUUGUUUUGGUUAUUGGUUUUUUUGAGAUAGGAUCUAACUACAUAGCUAUCUAGCCUCUGUUGGCUUGAACUCAGAAUGCUCUUGCCUUAGCUUCCUCCUGUGUUUUGGGAUUACAGGUGUGACUUACUGUACCUGGCUUGCUCUUCUUAUGUCUCCUCCCCACAACACCGCCAUUACCACUCCUAGGUAGCCCAAACCAGCCAUAACUGUUCAGCCUCAGUCUUCUGAAUGUUGAAAUUACGGGGUGUGUGUGGGGGAGCAGGGAAGCUUCAGUUUCUUUCAUUAAUACUUCAUAUCUUUAGGAGUUACAAAUGCCAUUAGCUGUAUUUGGGAGCAUUUUGUCAGGGUGUGAUAAAUGAGCUCUUUAUUAUUUAUUGUAUAAGUAAUUUUCUUAGUAAAUAUGUAAAAUGCCACUUUUGCAAAAACUGAUUGUUCCUAAUGAAGAUAGUUCCUUUGACAAAUAUUAAAAUUAAGAAUCAAAUAUGGUAGUGUAUGCCAAGACCUAGUCUGAGUCAGUAGGAUAACUUUGAGUUCUAGGCCAUCCUUGGCUAUAGAGACCCUAUGUCAGAAAAACCAAAAAAUAAGCAAAAUUAAGUAAAGCUUAACAAUGCCCAUGUAAGGAGACAAAAGGAAGUUUUUGAUGGGGUGUGAGAGGCCUCUUAACAUGUACAUGGAAGUCCAGAAUGAGCUGCUUAUUGCUGUGCCCAUCAAGAAGGACACAUGCUUUAGUAAUCCUGUAAGUCAAGAAGCCUAUUGUAAACAUUCUAAAUCCAUGCUGCUCUACCACUCCCCUUCCAUUGAAGGGGAAGCCAGCUGGCUGACUGUUCUGGUAUGACGAAUGGAACAGGCUAGUGUUAUACUUUAUAGUCGCUGAUUGGCUGACAUUUAAUAUUUUUGCCUUAAUAUUUCAUUACAGUUUUAGCUUACAGAACCUUUCAGUGGUUGAGGCACUUUGGGCAACUUUCAUAGAGUCAUAUGAAAACAAGACGUAAGAACUGUGUGGUACCAUGAAAGAGAGCCUGGUUCCUGGUUGAACUAAGGCUAGAAAUCCCGGUGACACUGAAGAGACAGUAGGCAUUUCGCCUGACUCCUGGGAAACUAGGCAGAUCACAAGCCCACAGCCUUCCAUAGAUUCAUGGCCAUCAGUCACAGAAGGGUAAUGCUUCAAGUCCCUCCACAAGUAGAGGACAUGGCCUGUGGUCUCAUAGACUCAAGGCAGAUCUCCAUUUUAAUGAGUUACCAAAGGCCUGGAGGCUUAGCCAAUAACCUUUCCUUCCUAGAUAUUUCACCCUUCAAAAGGUACUUAAUCGCAAGUCCACCCUAAGAAGUGGGGUACGGUUUUAAUCAUUCACUUUUCACCAUGCCGGUAAAUAUCGUAAAACCAUGGACUGUCUCAUUUUAUUGGGAUUCGCCAUGGUGAGCCACAGAGAAGGCCUUAGACUACAGAGCCAGCAUCUAAUCUCCUGCAGAAGGCCUCCCUGCUCUCCGAACCACAGCAACCACCACAACCAAGCCAAAGCAAGCACCCCCUCACCAAGCCAAAGCCUCUCCUCAAAGGACCAGCUAGAGGCCCCCUUAUUUCCCCUUCAGCCCGGGACUAGAUCCAGUUCCAUGGGCCCCAACUCCAUUCUCAACUCUUCUGUGGCAUUCAGGGGCACCUGGAUGCCUAAGAGCAUAAGAACCAGACAGCCCCUGCCUUGUUGCAGGCCCAAGGAACCUCCCCAAUCCCUCAGGCAGCUCCAGUGGUCCUGUGCCUCAGACUACAUUUCAUCAUCCCCAGAGCAGUGUCCCUUGACUGCCCAUGCAACCACUGGUCGAUGGGGUAAGUGCAGUCAUCUCCCACAUCCCGCCUAUUGUAGCCUUGCCCUGUGGCAGAGUGGACAUGGGACUCACGCAACCCUACACUGAGGAAUUUUACACUAUUUUUAUCUGACUUGUUUAAAUCAGUCUCAUCUGUUCAAAACUCUUUUACUUUUAAACCUUGAGGAGACUCUAUUCAGAACUUAAAUCUAAAACUUAAAUGAGGAAAAGACUGCUAAAGACAGGAUUAAACAAUGGAACCCUACUUGCUUGACAUGUUUACGUUCAGUUCUCUUUACUCUGGUCACAUCUCUACCUAAUAUCCACAUAUGGCCCACAUGGGUAUUUUCUGAUCACUAGUCAGUCACAUUUCUUGUUAAUAGGUGAAGAGAUCUGAGGCUCACUGCUCUUGAAUAUACCCUGUAUAAUAGCUAAGGUGGCAGUCCUUUGACUAAGAUCUGAGCUGAGGUUUUUCAUUAGUAAAUUCUUUCCAUUGUGUCUCUCUGUAGCGGUUGGAUGGUGCCUUUAAGUAACUUUAUGUUUUGUAUCGUUUUCAAAGGGAUUCUAAGUCUGUUCCAAUAUGCUUUUUGCUCUGCACUGGCAGGACAGAAUCCUGUGAUAAAUCACUAAAUUGUUUUGAGGACAUUCCCCAAAUGAUGGGCAUAAUGUGUUGUAGAUUUAUGAGUUCAUGUCUAAUUUACUUUUAAGCUUAAGUUUUUGACAUCAUCAUUGAUAGUUUCUCUGUUAAUGUUGCAGAAUAUAGAGAAGUUGUGGGCUGAUUUAUUUUGUGCAUUGUAUUUUAGACACUGUUUCUCACUGAUGCUCACCUGAGAUGAGCAAACACCAUACAAUUAGCUUUGGAAACCCAAUCACCUCAAACAAGUUGGUUUUUACCUACGAGUCUAGUUUAUAAUUGAUGACUUGCCAAUACAGAACCAUUGCUUCCUAAUGAGUCAACAUAGUAAAGAGGACACAUUGUAAUUGCAAAAGUUGCUUGGAACAGGAAGAAAAACCUCAGUUUUGAACUAUGCCUCAUCAUGUUAUUUGUAUCCUAAUCCAUUGCCCUCUUCCCUUUAGACAAAGUCUUAUUUAAAUAAACAGACAAGUCUUGUGGAGUGGGGAACCUCUCUAUAGAUAAGACCACAGAGACAUCGAUAAACUAUUUCUUUUCUGGUGAUCGUUAUGGAUUAGCAGAAAUUUAUGCUUUUAUACCAUGACACCUCAUAGAGUAUAAUCCUAUAAAUGAUUUGUAGUAAUUUUCCACAUACUACAUGGUUCUUGUUGCUAUCAAAUAGGUUCAAAUGCUGGAGUUUUUCCAUAUACUACUUUUAGGAGAGAAUUUGUGAUAUAUAUGUUCAGAGUUUGAGUCUGAAUUUUCAGAAUUUUUUCUAUUAAAAAUGUUUUAUUUUAUUUUAAUAAUAUGCAUGUGUAUGUAGUAGCUGCUUGGUGGUGAUGGUGGGUAUGCACACAUGGGAAUGAAGGUGCUGGCAUCCAGAGAGUGUGUCUGAGCUCUUGGAGCUGAGUCAGGUGGUUGUGAGCUGCUAGAUGUUUUUGCUUUGGCCAAUCUCUGAUCCUCUGCUAGAGUAUUAUAUUCUCUUCUCUACUGAAGCAUCUCUUCAGUCCUGGAAAAAACUUUUUUGUUCAUUUUCCUUGUUUGUUUUUUGUUUUUGUUUUUUUUCUUGGAAACAGGUUCUCACUAUAUGUUAGUUUUCUGUCUAAGCUCCACUCCCACAGUUACUUGGUAACAGCCAGGUAUGCCUGGCACUGUAAAAGGGGAUGCUUGUCCCCUCAUCAUUCCCUUACUUUCUUCCUUUCUUGCUUAUUGUUCUUGCCAUGCUUCCCCUCUUCCCCUUUGUCCCUUCUCUCCCCAUUAUCCUUCCCCCGUCCCUCCACAUGCUCAUGGCCGGUCUUUACUCCUCUCCUCUUCUACUCUUCUCUCAUUAAACAUUUCCACAUGGAACCUUGUUGUCCCAUAGUGGUUUGUCUGGACGUGAAAUGAGAUUUCUACCCCAACAUUAUGUAGUCCUAGCUGGACUGAAACACUCUUUGCUACCCAAUCACAUGUACAGUUAAUGGCAAUUUAAUAUAUUUUCAUGAUACUAUUUGAGCAUGUGAAACAAGAUUCUUGUUGGUUUCAGUGAAAUAUGAACGUGUACAUAUGAAUAUGCUCUCCAUGUUUAUGUCAGCUCAAGCUAGGCUAUAGUCAUCAUAAAGGAGGGAACCUCAAUUGAGAAAAUGCUUCCCAAUAAGAUCAGGUUGUAAUCAAGCUUAUAGUGUGUUAUUUCAGUGAUUAAUACAGGAGGGCUCAGGCUGUUGUGGGUGUGGCCACCCCUGGCCUGGUGGUCCUGGGCUGUAUAAGAAAGCAAGCUGAGGAAGCCAGUAAGCAGCACCACUGGUUGACCACUGUACCAGUUCCUGCUUCUAGGUUGUUACCAUGUUUGGGUUCCUGUCCCAAGUUCCUUCAGUGAUAGAUUGCCAAGUGGAAGUGUAAGGCAAAUACACUCUUUCCUCUGCAACUUGCUUCAGUGUUUCAUCACAGUGAUAAUAACCCUAACUAGGGCAAUGAGUAUCAAUGCAAGUGUGGAGAAAUGUAACACUUGCCUUGUAUUUGGCCUUUUAAUAGAAGCUGUCGGGGGUUUAAUUUCCGGAAAACUUGAUUUGUUUACUUCUAGUUUGUUCUUAUUUCUUUUUUUUAAAUUAAUUUAUUUAUCUUAUGUAUAUGAGUAUACUGUCACUCUCUUCAGACACACCAGAAGAAGGCAUCAGAUCUCAGUACAGAGCUGAUCUGAGCUACCAUGUGGUUGCUGGAAAUUGAACUCAGGACCUCUGGAAGAGCAGUCAGGGCUCUUACCCACUGAGACUUCUCUCCAGCCUCAGUUCUUAUUGGUAAUAUAGAGAUCAGUAUAUUUGGAAGAUUCUUCCACUCCAGUUCUCAUUCCUUCCAUGUGGGGUUUGUUAAAAUUAUGGCUGUUCUUCAGCCACUUCGCUGGAGUUGACAGAUUAUUUUCAGAGAGGAAAGAAUCCGAUUGGGGAGAAGUAGCAGGUAUUUGUAAGUUUUGUUCUCUUCAGAUAUUUAUUUCACUAAUUUCCACUACUAGGGAAGUGACUUUGCCUUGGGACAAUGUUUUAUAGAAAACACAGUUUUAGUUUCUUUUGGGGCUUGCUUGGUUUUGUGUUUUUCCUUAAUUAUUGACACCAAACCGACAGCCUCUUCAAUGACAGGCGAGUGCUGCACCCCUCAUGCAUAUCCAUAUCUUUCUCAGUGUCAGACUUGAUACCCUCCUUGUUACACCAUCAAUAAUGAUUUUCUCACUGGCUUUUCACAGCAGAAAUGUUUGUGAGCAUACCGUGCUCUUAAAUGAAUAAUCAGAUGAAUUGUUAUUAUUUUUUAUUUCUCAUUUAUUUUUCUUUUAUUUGUUCAUUUUUUUUAAGAACUGAGACUAGGCUUCUGUAGUUGAGGCUGGUCCUGAGUUCAUUAUAUAGAUAGGGCUGGACUUGAACUUCUGAUUCUCCUCACUGUACCUCCCAGACACUGAAAUUAAAGGUGUAAUACACCAUACCUGGCUUUAAGUUUGAAGAUAUAUUUUAUUAUUUGUAGAGAAAUGGCAAGAGGACACUGUUCCCAGCUUGCCAGCUUGCAGGCAACCUAGGGUCUUUGUCAUUCUAAGCAAACUGAGACCAAGGAAGCAGACUUUCUCAAGCAGAGAAUCCUGGUGCUCUGCCAAGUAAGCUGCAAACCUGAGGAAGAGACCUUCCUGUUGCUUUUCUCAUGAGAAAGUAACUUUGUUCAUAGUUUAAUAGACAUCUUGAUGGGAAGCAUGGUGGUGAGCAGAAGCAGAGAGAGCAAACUGGAUAAACAACAUUCUUUAUCUCUCAAAGCUUCCCUCCUGGGACAUGCUUCUUCCAGCAAGGCCAUUCCUCUUAAUCCCUUCCAAACAGCACCACACAGCUAGAUGUCAGAGUCUGUGAGGACAUUCUCAUGCAUAUGACUACAUGUUGUUACAUUUAAUGACUGCCACAUACACAUUUGCAGAAUGUUCAAAUCAUUUGCUGUUAAAAGUAUGUGUCUAGAUUCAGAGUUUCUUUGAACCAGUCGUUAUGCAAUAGGAAUUUCUUUGGCUCUUAAGGGAUGAAGACUAGCAAAUAAGCCUCUUAAGGAGAAUUUAUGAGAUACAUCUGGCAAUUCUGGGCUUGAUAUGGAACACACCAUGGAACACCCUGGUACCCGCCUAGAGCAAAUUUAAGAGCAAAGUCCACAGAAUUAGAAAUUUAUUUUCAGGGCCUUUUUACAUAGGCCCCUAAAACAUUUAAAUUGUCUUUCUCACUCUAGGGACUUAGCUGAAAACGUCCUUGUGUCUUUAGCCAUUUUUCAUGUAUAUAAUAUGUUGUUAAUACAAAUGUCAGAAAGAGAAACCCAAUCAAAAGGCAUUUCAAAAACUAAGAAUCCUGUGUGUGGAAAAAAUAUGUUUUAAGAUUAAAGAUUCUUACAAAUCUUACCAAAGCUAGUUUGAUUUGAUAGUGAAGGCUUCAUAUAAUAGUCUUUGAUAUAAUCUUAGAGAAUUACAGAAAGCAAUGUAAAUAUUGCAUUAAUUUAUGAAAGUUAAUACAGUGGUGGCCUAACUUGUACCUGGAAAAUUUAACUUUCUGCCUCUUUUGAUCCAACAAUGACUUAACUAGUUAGUCCCUAGGCUGGAAGCUUGAGACAUGCCAGGAUCUGGUAAACUUGGUGUUGUAUAGUACAGUUAAGUGUUGCAUUAAGAAUGCCAGUGUUUUCUGUCCUCUGACCUUGUCUUCCCUUCUCUGCCCUCAUGGCUCUGCUCUUGUCUGCCUGCUUCUACACAGUCUCCAGGCCCUCACCGCCCCCAAAUCUUCUUACCCCUGAUCUCUUGCAUGUAAUCAUUUCUCAAGAGCACAUCUUGGCAUGGGUCUGCAAAUCUCUGCCUACCAUGAGGAGGUGUUGUUGGAGGACGAAAUCUGAAAAUGAUGGCUGGGAAAAAGGCUGUGUUUUAAUGAAUAAAGUUUGUUUAUAUACUGGAUUACGUCGAUGGUUUUCCGUGUGUUAAACCAUCCCUGCAUCCCUGGGAUGAAGCCUACUUGAUAAUGAUGGAUGAUUGUUUUGAUAUGCUCCUGGAUUCAGUUUGCAAGAAUUCUAUUGAGUAUUUUCUGUUGAUAUUCAUAAGGGAAAUUGGUCUGAAGUUCUCUUUCUUUGUUGGGUCUUUGUAUGGUUUAGGUAUAAGAGUAAUUGUGGCUUCUGAGAAGGAAUUCGGUAGUGCUCCACCUGUUUCAAUUUCAUGGAAUAGUUUGGAUAGUAUUGGUAUGAGGUCUUCUAUGAAGGUCUGAUAGAAUUCUGCACUGAACCAAUCUGGACCUGGGCUCUUUUUGGUUGGGAGUCUUGUAAUGACUGCUUCAGAUUCAAUGCAGUCCCCAUCAAAAUUCCAAGCCAAUUCUUCAUAGAGUUAGACAGAACAAUUUGCAAAUUCGUCCGGAAUAACAAAAAAACCCAGGGUAGCUAAAACUAUCCUCAACAAUAAAAAGCCUUCCGGGGAAAUCAUUAUCCCUGAACUCAAAGAGUAUUAGAGAGUAAUAGUGAUAAAAACUGUAUGGUAUUGGUAUAGAGACAGACAGAUAGACCAGUGGAAUAGAAUUGAAGACCCAGAAAUGAACCCACACACCUAUGCUCACUUGAGUUUGACAAUGGAGCCAAGGAAAAAAGAUAGCAUUUUCAGCACAUGAUGCUGGUUCAAAGGGAGGUAAUCAUGUAGAAGAAUGUAGAUCUAUACAUUCUUAUCACCCUGUAAAAGCUUAAGCCCAAGUGGAUCAAACCAGAUACACUCAAACUUAUAGAAAGAAGGAGUGGGGAAAAACCUCGAACAUGUGGGCACUGGAGAAAAUUUCCUGAACAAAAUAACAAUAGCUUAUGCUCUAAGAUCAAGAAUCAACAAAUGGGAUCUCAUAAAUCUGCAAAGCCUCUGUAAGGCGAAGGACAAAGUUGUAAGGACAAAAUGGCAACCAACAGAUUGGGAAAAGAUCUUUACUAAUCCUACAACCAAUAGAGGGCUUAUAUCCAAAAUAUACAAAGAAUUGAUGAAAUUAGACUACAGGGAGACAAAUAACCAUAUUAAAAAAUAGGGCUCAGAGCUAAACAAAGAAUUCACACCUGAGGAAUGCUGAAUGACUGAGAAACACCUAAGGAAAUGUUCAACAUCUUUAGUCAUAAGGGAAAUGAUAUCAAAACAAUCCUGUGUUUCCACCUCACACCAGUGACUGGCUAAGAUCAAAAACUCAGGUGACAGCAGAUGCUGGUGAGGAUGUGGAGAAAGAGGAACACUCCUCCAUUGUUGGUGGGAUUACAGACUGGUAUAACCAUUCUGGAAAUCAGUCUGGAGGUUCCUCAGAAAAUUGGACAUUGAACUACCUUAGGACCCAGCUAUACCUCUCUAGGGCAGAUACCCAAAAGAGACCCUAACAUAUAACAAAGACACUUCCUCCACUCUGUUUAAAGCAGCCUCAUUUAUAAUAGCCAGAAGCUGGAAAGAACCCAGAUGCCCUUCAACAGAGGAAUGGAUACAAAAAAAUGUGGUAUAUCUACCCAAUGGAAUACUACUCAGCUAUCAAAAACAAUGACUUUAUGAAAUUCAUAGGCAAAUGGAUGGAACUCGAAAAUAUCAUCCUGAGUGAGUUAAGCCAAUCACAGAAAAACACACAUGGUAUGUACUCAUUGAUAAGUGGAUAUUAACCCAAAUGUUUGAAUUACUCUAGAUGCACAGAACACAUGAAACCCAAGAAGGAUGACCAAAAUAUGAAUGCUUCACUCCUUCUUAAAAGGGGCACAAGACAACCCUUGGGAGGGAAUGGGGAGGCAAAGUUGAGAAUAGAAACUGAAGAAACACCCAUUCAGAGCCUGCCCCACAUGUGGCCCAUACAUAUACAGCCACCAAACUAGAUAAGAUGGAUGAAGCAAAGAAGUGCAGGCUGACAGGAACUGGAUGUAGAUCUCUCCUGAGAGACAAACCCAGAAUACAGCAAAUACAUAGGCGAAUGCCAGCAGCAAACCACUGAUCUGAGAAUGGGACUCCCAUUGAAGGAAUCUGAGAAAGGACUUAAAAAGAUUGAAGGGGCUUGAGAUCCAAUAUGAACAACAGUGCCAACCAACGAGAGCUUCCAGGGACUAAGUCAGUACCCAAAGAAUAUACAUGGACUGACCCUGUGCUCCAACUGCAUAGGUAGCAAUGAAUAGUCUAGUAAGAGCACCAGUGGAAGGGGAAGUCCUUAGUCCUGCCAAGGCUGAACCCCAGUGAAUGUGAU